UUUAUUAUUAUAUGCACAUAUUUUUUUUUUAUAAAGUUCACUGAGCUCUUGAACUUCUGUUGAACUUUUUAUGGCACAAUUCUUGUUUUGUAUAUUUUUCUUUUUCAAUAAAAUAAAUUGCGCAAAAACGUCGAGCGAAAGUGAAAACACAGCGAGAUACAAAUAAAAUAUAACUAAAUCGCGUUGGCCCAAACCAAAAAUCAAACUAAAUCAAUCGAAAUCGCGCCGGGCACCAAGUCGCGGGGGGGGGGAGUUGAACGCCGAACGCCGAGCGCCAAUGCAAAGAUUGAAUUAAGCUCGGCAGAGACAGCGACAGCGACGUCGACGUCGCAGUUAACGUCGCAGUUAGCUUUCGAUAGAGCCUGAGCUGGCGAUAUGCGCGCAUGACGUCACUGGCGAUUUAUUUUUAGUGGCCAACCCAGGUCGGCGGUUUCCGUUCCUUAUCAAUGUGUGACGCGAGCGCCGAUUACAGGAAUGCGACGCGCAGCGUAGCGACAGCAGAGGCUGCAGCAGCGAACGUACCAAAUACACCUAUUGCAGAAGCGUCGCGCCGACUACUGAACAACAGCAGCAGCAGCAGCAGCAGCAUAAGCACUCGCCGGUAUCCGAAGCUUCAAUACCCAAACCCCAACCCAAACCAAGUUCCAUUUCUGACAAAGAAAAAUCACAUGCACACAACACCAGGCCAAAAUAUUCAUGUGUUUCUGCUGGGGCUGCUUAUCGUGGGGACCGAAACGUGUGUGUGAAAGAGAGAGCGAGGGGUAGAGAGCGGCAGCGAGAGUCAGCGGCGCGAUAAGCUCAACAAGCUCAGGUAACACAACCCACCACUGUCCAGGUAAACAAAGCUAUCUAACACCAGUGCCGGCUCCAAGGCAAAACAUUCUCGUAUAAAUCGCCCAAAAUAAUAAAUUUUGAAAGUUAUUCAAAAUUCAUUAUAUCAAAUGCCAAAAAAGAAAAGUUUUAUCUGAAUCUUAAGUUGGGAAUGUUUGUUACAUUUUACGGAUUUUACAUACACAAUGGAAAGAAGCCUCAAAUAACUCACAUAUGCAUUAAAAAAGAAUUCAUAAAAA